AGAGUUUGAUCCUGGCUCAGAGCGAACGCUGGCGGCGUACUUAACACAUGCAAGUCGAACGAGGAUCAUCCGUGUAGCAAUACAUUGGUGGUCCUAGUGGCGCACGGGUGAGUAACACGUGGGUGACCUGCCCUAGAGCUCGGGAUACCCCCUCGAAAGGGGGGCUAAUACCGGAUACGUUCCUUGGUCGAAAGAUCGGGGAGGAAAGGUGGCGCAAGCUGCCGCUCUUGGAGGGGCUCGCGGCCUAUCAGCUAGUUGGCGGGGUAACGGCCCACCAAGGCUAUGACGGGUAGCUGGUCUGAGAGGACGACCAGCCACACGGGGACUGAGACACGGCCCCGACUCCUACGGGAGGCAGCAGUGGGGAAUUUUCCGCAAUGGGCGAAAGCCUGACGGAGUGACGCCGCGUGUGGGACGAGGGCCUUCGGGUCGUAAACCACUGUCAGUGGGAAAGAUGGGUGUCGGGGCUAAUACCUCCGGCAUCUGACGGUACCUGCAGAGGAAGCCCCGGCCAACUCUGUGCCAGCCGCCGCGGUAAUAC
rnacentral:rRNA from 1 species